rnacentral:rRNA from 1 species
UACAGAGGGUGCGAGCGUUAAUCGGAAUUACUGGGCGUAAAGCGUGCGUAGACGGUUAUUUAAGUCAGGUGUGAAAGCCCCGGGCUCAACCUGGGAAUUGCAUUUGAGACUGAAUAGCUAGGGUGCGGAAGAGGGAAGCGGAAUUUCUGGUGUAGCGGUGAAAUGCGUAGAUAUCGGAAGGAACACCAGUGGCGAAAGCGGCUUCCUGGUCCAGCACCGACGUUCAGGCACGAAAGCGUGGGGAGCAAACAGG